AAAAAAAAAAAAAAGAUAAAGCCAUUCAUAUUUGGUGUAAGAAUGCAAGUACAUUUAAAUUACAAAAUAGAACAAUUAUAACAAUAUACUGGGAUAAAAGUUAUGUGAAUCUGGUAUCUCUCUCAAAAUAACUUACUGUACUCUCAGCUUUCUUCUUGUGAUGAUGUGAGAUGAUGAAAUGCCCCUGUGAUAAAACAAGGUGAGGUGAAUGGCAGAGACAUUAUGAUGUAGUGUUAGACUCCUAUUGACCUUCAGAAGGAGGACCAUCUGCUUCCAAACCACUGUUGAUCACAGGUGGCGCCAUUGCUGCACAGUGGUAGGUCAGCGGCAUAAAAAUUGGCCUUCAAGAAGAGGACUCAGAACAGCUGAAGACACUAAAAACAGAACUUAAAUAAUCUGCCAAAGGUCACACAGCAGUAUGUGGAGAAGCCAAGACUGAUACCCAUAGUCCUGCUUCAUAGUCUGUGCUCCCAAGUAACUAUACCACACAACCACCACACAUGUGGUCCCAGGAGUUCGGAGUAAAAAAUAGCAAAACUUAGGUAAUGCAGAUAAAGGCCCAAGACUAAUUUUACAUCGAGACUCAAAGCAAAAGUUACAUUUUACAGAGAAGCAGACGGAGUAAAAGGGAUGCAUUAAGAGCAUGUGUGUUAUUUAAGCAAAGGAAAGAUGAAAGACUCAACCCCAAAGGAAAAAUGGGACUUUGUUAAGCAAUCUGAACUCUUGGCUUCUAGGGGACCUAAUUCUACAGUGACAACUUUUCAGAUUUAUGGAUGGUGGGGAAAAAAAUACUAAAACCUUGAUUGAGAGUAUUGCAGUAAGUUAA